rnacentral:lncRNA from 13 species
AUGUACUUCAGAACAACAGAUCCCAGGGACACUGGGCAAUUCAUUGUCUUCAGAACACAUCUGGCCCUGUCAUGGCUAUGGGAGCAUCUUGGCAUUUGGAGGAAACAAAAGAUGACUGUGCUUGCUCUGGAAUGUGUGAGAGAAAAUGAUCCUACGUUCUGUUGGAGAGGAAGGUGGGGAGCAGAAAAAUAUACUUUGAUGAGGAUUAUAUUGUAUCUUCAGUGGACAGUGAGUCAUUGAAGAGCUUUAAAGAAGAUGAGGAUAUAAUUCCAUACUCAUUUUCUUUCCCUUUGUUUUAAGUAUUUUAUGGGUAGAAAAUACAUAGAUCAUAAAUAGGUUUACCAAGAGUAAGAACUAAGUAAACAUAUCUUUUAAGCUGAAUCUAUUGCCAGGUGCUACUCCUUUGCCCCCUUCUUUUCUUUAUCCUUCCCUUCUCCCAGGGUUGAUCACUCUCCUUACACUCAGCCCUUUAGAUUAGCUUUGACUCUUUGAAACUUUACAUAAUAAAUCACAUAGCAAAUAUUCUUGUGUCUGGCUU